rnacentral:rRNA from 1 species
UACGUAGGGGGCAAGCGUUAUCCGGAUUUACUGGGUGUAAAGGGAGCGUAGGCGGUUCAGCAAGUCAGAAGUGAAAGCCCGGGGCUCAACCCCGGGACUGCAUUUGGAACUGUGCUGCUAGAGUGUCGGAGAGGCAGGCGGAAUUCCUAGUGUAGCGGUGAAAUGCGUAGAUAUCAGGAGGAACACCGGUGGCGAAGGCGGCCUGCUGGACUGCAACUGACGUUGAGGCCCGAAAGCGUGGGGAGCAAACAGG